rnacentral:lncRNA from 1 species
GUGACAUCAUUAGCUUUUCUUGGGAUCUCAAAGGACCCUGUGCAGCAGGCCACUAUUUGAAUGUGUGUUGCUCCUUGUGGCAGGUAUACUGUUCCAAUGCCCUGGGAUCUCUGUAGUGGUCGGUACUGUAUUGAUUAUAAAUGGUGAAGUCCUAGUAUCUUGCUAGAGUGAGCUGGCCAGGAUGGUGGAGCUCUACCACCAUUUCACAGGUUAUAGACAGGGGCCACCAGGUUUCAGGAAAGCAGCAAUGACCCCUCAGUAAUAGUUGGAAAGUGUGAUAUGACACUGAGCUUCACUGUGUUGGUGAAGAAGAGGUGAGGAAAAUAAAAGCUGCAGUUUGCCUCCACCUCUGAAGAAGCACAAUACACCUUUCUGGGUUACCAAUGGGAUACUUCCCAACAGCUUUGUCAUCACAUACAAUAUUCUCAAACAAGAUCUUAAUGGCAUCUACUUUCUCCAGGAACACAGCCCCUGACCUGUGUGUGUUUGCGUAGAGAAGGCAUGCUAUGUACCCCCUAGGAUAUCAAGAUUCCUGUAGCAGAUUGAGCUCUGGCAGUUGAUCUCAGUGGCUUGAUAGAGUGUCAUUAUAAAAACGCACCUGGAAGAUUCUGUGGAAAAGACAACCUCAGAAGACCAAGAGGCUGACUUUGCAAGAGAGAGUCCGUUUACCACUUAGAACCGUGAACACCACCCCCGCCCUCAUUUAUCUCCAGACUUGAACUAGUGGUUAAAUCCCAACAUGUCCCAGAGAAGUCAAAAGCAUUGUAAAAUCUGGGAAUCUGCCCACCACUCAAGCCUGGGAAAGCUGGCAGAGGAUGCACGUGUUUUACUCACCUGAGUGUUUACAAUGCUCGUGAGGUGCCUCCCUGAUAGUACAGAGGAAUGAAGAAGGAAUAAACAGACCUUCUGGAUAAUUGCAUCAGCCUUCCCCACUAUUCCAAUGCCAUGCUAACAUUUCAAGUAAUGUCCCUUUUGUCUUGCUGAGAAAAAAUCAUUUCAUGAUUUAUUACACUGGAUUAAAGGCUAUGCACACUCUGGAGUUGGAACAUGACUGAAGGGCAAGCAAGCAUAAAGGAUAUCAGAAACAGUUGAUGUGUUUAAAUUUUUCUGAAUUUCUCAAGUAAACUUUUUAGAAAGUAGUCUGAAGAUAAAAUGGUUAUAUAAGUUACUUAAACUGUAGAUGAUGGCACCUUUAUCCCUAUAUAAUAAAAUUAAGAUUUGUAGGUUAAACCUUGGAUAUUCCCAUCUGAGCAUCUGUACCAAACAGAAAAGACCUGUGUGAGUUCCUGAGAACCAGUGCUCAUUCCAGAAGAGACAGGUUUCUCUCCAGGAAGAAAUGUCUGAAAUUCAGUGAAUUAAAAUCCUCAUUGAGUCUUCC